CAGGAUGAACGCUGGCGGCGUGCUUAACACAUGCAAGUCGAACGAAGUUUAAGGAGCUUGCUUUUAAACUUAGUGGCGGACGGGUGAGUAACGCGUGGGUAACCUGCCUUUCACAGGGGGAUAACAGUUAGAAAUGACUGCUAAUACCGCAUAAGCGCACAGGACGGCAUCGUCUAGUGUGAAAAAACUCCGGUGGUGAAAGAUGGACCCGCGUCUGAUUAGCUAGUUGGUGAGGUAACGGCUCACCAAGGCGACGAUCAGUAGCCGGCCUGAGAGGGUGAACGGCCACAUUGGGACUGAGACACGGCCCAAACUCCUACGGGAGGCAGCAGUGGGGAAUAUUGCACAAUGGGGGAAACCCUGAUGCCAGCGACGCCGCGUGAGUGAAGAAGUAUUUCGGUAUGUAAAGCUCUAUCAGCAGGGAAGAAAAUGACGGUACCUGACUAAGAAGCCCCGGCUAACUACGUGCCAGCCGCUGC
rnacentral:rRNA from 1 species